UGGUUUACCGAAGCGACUAGGUCGCCUAUAUGUCUAAGUGAUAGACUUUCAUGUUGAUGCAUGUUAAUAAUAACAUAGAUGAUGCAUGUGAUAGAAUGCUAAGUAUAAGCAUGUAAAAUGAUGUUAGUUAAUGACAUGACAUAAAGGAUAUUUGUAUACCAACAUAAAGUAGAAAGCAUGCUUAAUGUUGUAGUAUAAAGCAUAACGACAUAGAGUGAAUAAUGAAAGGCUAAGAAUGCUAAGUAGAGAGCAUGUGAAGUAAAGUAUAUAAAUGCUAUGUGAUGAUGCAUGUGAACUAAAUGUAAGAGUGCUAAAGUGAAUGCAUCAAAUAAUGAUAAGCUAAGAAUGCUAAGUAUAAGUGAUAAGUAUAAUAUGGAAAUACUAAAUGCAAGUACAUGGUAGGAAUGCUAAGUAAAGGGCAAGUAUAGGUGGACAUGAAUUAACCUAUAGAUCGAGUAGCAUUAAACCUAGUGUCAAGAACAUAGGUUGAACAAGUGUGACAUGAACCUAAUGUUAGAUAACAUAGGUUGUGAGUUAAAGAUAAUAACCUAGAGUUAAAGUAAACACUACAACAAAACUAGGUUAUAGGGACACUUUCUAGGGACACUUUAGUGUAAGUGUCCAAAUAUAUUCAAAAAUUUUUAAAAUUAGAAAAAAAAUUUGCAAAGCCCAAAUAAACCUCAAUUACCAAAAAAAAAAAAGAGAAAAAAAAUCGGUCUCUUCUCGUAUCCCCCUUCUCCCCUCACCACCUCUUCUCUCCUCACCAAACCCGUCGAAACCCUAGAAAUCGCCCUCGAGCUCCUCCUCCUCCGCCAUAGCACCUGAAGAGAUAAGGUUUUGGCGGCCGGAGUUCGGCCACGAGGACUUUCGGGGACCGUAUACGGGUACGAGACGCCACGGUCGCCGGGGGAGUUGGCACCAAACGUCGAGGCGGCGGCGGUGUUGGGGGAGGAGGAGUCCGACGACCGCUUCCUAGCUGUGCUCGCGGCGCGUUGAAGGUGCGGAAGGAGGAGAAGGAGAAGGGUUAUGCAGCAAGGGAGUUUGGCCUUCUUAUGUAAUUGCAGCUCGAGAGGAGUUGAAUCCGCAUUAGCUCGAGCGAGGCAUAUUUUAUGUGAAAAGCAAGGGAAGAUUAAUGAGGCGGGAGGCCUACAAGAAGCUGCAAGAUGGUUGGCUAAACAAUGGAGACAAAGUUCCUCCUGCUGAGUUUGCCAAAGUAAGCCAAAUGACUAACUAAUUGGGAAUCCAGAAAUACUCAGGAUGCUAAGUACAGAUGGCUUGCUAAGCAUUAAGGCCGCUCUCGCCUAAUAUAUUUGAAAUGCUAUCAUAUAUAUUUUUUAAAGCUUAAUAUUAUUUAUGGUCAACAAAUAGGCUGAAUAGCUAAUAUUCUUAACAUCCUUGAAAAGAACGAAAAGGUUGCUUCUUGUAUUGAUGUAACUUUAUAAUUUAUUUGGUUGCGGCGAUAUCAGAUAGCAGCAGAAUAUUCAGAAUGCCCAUCAGGGAAGAAGGGGGGUGUAUACUCAGGAUGCUAAGUACAGAUGGUUUACAUAUCAUUUUUUCGUUCUUUUACAGCUCAUAUACCUCUGUAUCUGUUCCAGUUUUUAAAUACGACCAGUAAAACCAGGCCAUUUGAGUUUCUUAGGCUUACCAGCUUGGGAGUUAUCGGUGCCCUUGUGAAGGUAAUUUUUGCGUUCUCUUUAACAUAACCUAUGAUACAUUUCUCUUGUUGUUUGUAUGCAAUGAUGAUUCUAUCAAAAUAGCUAAUCUUCACCUAUAUCUUUGCUUCUCUGUUAUGAUGACUCUCUGGCCUCCUUAUUUAUAUCUUACCUUUAUUUCUUUCUCCCAGUUGUGUAUUAGAGGGAUGCGGACCUUCACGAUAUGUCUAAACUUUUCAUAUUAUAUUGGCAUCAAGUUACUGGUUUGCCUCUGCUGCAACAUUUUCCAUGCCUCAAAGCAAAAGAUAUUCUAAUUUGCAGGAUCCUAAUUUGCUUGAUGAGUCGAAUUUAAUUCAAGCAUGCUAGGUAGUAGUAAUCUUGUAGUGCCUUAAUUUUUCUUCACAUCAAUUCUAGUUCUUUAUCUAUUUUGAGUUGAUUGAUGUAUAAAAUUCUAAUGAGAGUAAAGAGAUAAUUCAUGAUGUCAAUUUGCCCUAUGUGAUAAAUUAGAAAGUUCAAUAACUUUUAGUCCGUAGAGCAACAAAAUAUUGUUUCAAUUUGAACAGAGUAAAAUGCUAUAUGCUAUAAUAUUAAUUGUUAAAUAUUAUAUUCUAAUAUAUGAAAUAUGAAUGAAGUUUUGUUAAAUUAAGCCUUGUUUUAUUUUAGUAAAAAUGUUAAUGACCUUUUGCCCUCUGGUGGCUUUUCUUUUUUGUGUGUUUUGUGUGCGGAUUGACUGUUACUAUCCAUGUGUGAAAUUACCAUUUUAAGAUGUUUUGGAGAUGUUGCAGCAGUUGAUUUCCGUAGUGGUUCUGCAAAGUGAUGUCGAAAUUGUUGCUAUUCCUGCAAUCCAGAGAUGGUGAGCUGAACGAGUUUGUUUUGGCAUUUGUCUCUCUGUUUGAUGAUGCUGUUUAACUGAACCUGAAAGAUGGACCCUAUUGAAACAGAAACGGAGCUUGCUAUGCUCAAGUCGCAGUGGAAUACAUUUUCAGUGACCUAAUGAAUUCUCAUGAUAGUUUGAUUCUCAAAUGAUGUUAGUUUACUUAUGUGGUGUUGAAGUAUAUUAAUCUUACGUUGAUUAGAAAUCAAAAUUUUGGCCUAUGAGGUUUUAUUUAUCUAUUAGCUUAAGAUUUUGGAGUGAUUGGCUCUCUGAGUUAGUAAUAUUCUAGCUAUGUAGUUUGCGCAAUUGGAUUUUUGAAGGUUAUGGAGUUGGGGUGAUAGCAAAAAGCUAUGUAAAAUGUAGCUUAGACUUUUCCAUAAUAGUUGUUAUCAAAAAGCUGUAGAAAAUGUAGCUUAGACUUUUCUCUCUGCUGGAGAUUAGUUUAUUGCAGUACAUCUACUAGUUGGACCUGGCUAAUAAGUGAAGCUAUUAUUGUCCUUUUAGGUUCUGUUUACUAUUUUCUACCUCUUUUUUGGGUGGUUUUCUUUUUAUUACAACAUUAACUAAAUUUGUAGGACCUAAAUUUGUAGACCUAAAGUAUUAUUUUCUUGUCUACGUUACAUUUCAAAGUUUUGCGCAUAAUUACUAUGGUUAAGUUCUAAGAUCAUCAUUUUAUUAAGACCUAAUGUAAAUCUCCUGUUGCAUUUAUAGGGUGCUUUGUGUAAUCAUACUUCUAUACCUUAACUUAUUGUAGGACCUAAAUUUGUUAGUAACUUUCUUCUUAUGGUAUGGCGUGGUGUUGGAGAUUGAUGUAAGUGACUUUCUAAUCAUAAUUUUAAGAGGCUCUUUUUGUUUGAUUUUGUUAGUAACUUUUUGUUUGAUUUCAUUGUGAGAGUCAUGUACAUGAAGACAUGGUCCGAGCUAUCAAAAAGAUGAUUUUUGAUAUAGAAGUAGUUUUGCAAGUAUGGCAUCUACCACUAAGCAGGUAAUAGAAUUUAGUUGGUUAAGCUGAUUGCCGAGUUGCUUAUUGUUCUUCUUAUUUUACAGAUUAAGAGUUUACUCAUUCAGUCAUAUGCACGUCGUGGGUUGAUGCAUUUGCGAAGGUAUUGACCUCAUAAAAUGGGACAAGGCUAAAAUCGGUUACUAUGUUCGUGUUGAUAUUGCUGAAGGCUCAGUCCAAGUAUAAAUCGUGGAGCGAUCAGAUGCGUUUAUGCACUU